rnacentral:rRNA from 1 species
UACGUAGGGACCGAGCGUUGUCCGGAAUCAUUGGGCGUAAAGAGCGUGUAGGCGGCCACUUAAGUCCUGCGUGAAAUCUUGCGGCUCAACCGCAAGCGGUCGUGGGAAACUGGGUGGCUAGAGUGCGGGAGAGGAGAGUGGAAUUCCUGGUGUAGCGGUGGAAUGCGCAGAUAUCAGGAAGAACACCCGUGGCGAAGGCGGCUCUCUGGGCCACUACUGACGCUGAGAAGCGAAAGCAUGGGGAGCGAACAGG